rnacentral:rRNA from 1 species
ACCGGUACUAAUGACCCGUGAGGCUUAACCUUACAACGCCAGAGGCGUUUUGGGUUGAGAGACAGAAGAAUUUUCAGGCUUGUUUACCGGAUAACGCCGUGCGGCCCGAGAGGGCGGUGCGGCAGACAGAAUCUGCCUGGCGGCUGUAGCGCGGUGGUCCCACCUGACCCCAUGCCGAACUCAGAAGUGAAACGCCGUAGCGCCGAUGGUAGUGUGGGGUCUCCCCAUGCGAGAGUAGGGAACUGCCAGGC